rnacentral:rRNA from 1 species
GACGAACGCUGGCGGCGUGCUUAACACAUGCAAGUCGAACGAAGUGGCGAACGGGUGAGUAACGCGUAAUCAACCUGCCCUUCAGAGGGGGACAACAGUUGGAAACGAAUGCUAAUACCGCAUACUGAAGAGGGGGUUUGAGUCUGAUUAGCUAGUUGGAGGGGUAACGGCCCACCAAGGCGAUGAUCAGUAGCCGGGCUGGGAGGAGGAACGGCAACGUUGGGACUGGGGAACGGGCCAGACUCCUACGGGGGGCAGCAGUUGGGGAUCUUCCGCAAUGGAGGAAAGUCUGACGGAGCAACGCCGCGUGAGUGAUGACGGCCUUCGGGUUGUAAAGCUCUGUUAAUCGGGACGCGGUACCGGAAUAGAAAGCCACGGCUAACUACGUGCCAGCAGCCGCGGUAAUUC